AUCCAUCUGACGAGUCUCAAAUAGGACGAAACGCGCAUCCUGAAU
rnacentral:hammerhead_ribozyme from 1 species